rnacentral:lncRNA from 1 species
GGAAAGGGCAUCAGGGAGCCGGUCAGCGUGGGAACCCCCUCGGAAGGGGAAGGGUUGGGUGCUGACGGGCAGGAGCACAAAGAAGACACAUUCGAUGUGUUCCGACAGAGGAUGAUGCAGAUGUACAGACACAAGCGGGCCAACAAAUAGAUCAAAACCACUGAUGUGAAAGAUAAGCCUUGAAGCAGCAAUUGCCCUUAAAACAUCAUCCCUGCCCUGGAUCGGCCUGGAGCCAGUGCCCAAUUCCAGGGUCACCCCCGAGAGGACAACAGGCAUCUGGAAGUGCUCUCUCGCCACUCUGGGUGCUUUACUGUCUCUGGCUUGUUUCCAUCACUGGAAAUCACUUAGAGAAUUGUAGUGUUUUUGGUCCUUGAUAAAGCCUAGAAGACAUUUGUGAUGUUACAAAAUGGAAGUUUUCUUUUGUUUCUGUUUUUUAAGAUCUAAGAAGUUGUGAAUGUUGUUAAUCAUUUAGCCGUUGCAAUAAAUGUAGAGGAAAUGCAGUG